CUCAAAUUUAGCCUAUUACCCAAAAACAUUUAAAACUCAACUUAGAAGCCAAUACUCACAUCUACCUCUGAGCCCAGUUGGAGAUAGAAAAAACACACCAGCCGUGAGUGAGAAGAAGCAAGGGUCCAGCUUUAUUGUUCCAUUCCACCACACGAGAUCCACACCGAUGAGAAUUCUCAGAAGUGAUCCCCCAUACCCUGAGCUUAAGCUCCAGUAUUUAUACUGUAUUUACACACUAGAUAACCCAUAGGUUUCCAGAAAAGGCCUAUUUCACUUACCCAUAGAAGACGAGAAUCUUCACCAUCUGAAUCAUGAGUGCCGGUGCCCGUCGUCAGUCCCCUCUCUCUCCGUUACUGGACCUGGAUCAGGGUUUGGACCUGGAUCUGGACACUCAUUACCAGCUUGUGCAUCUCACUGCUGAUAUCAUGAUGCUACUUAACUAUCUUCGCAGCACCCCCCCUAAGAAUGGAGAUCCGGGGUUCCCCUCUUCUUCGGUACAGAAUCUGCCCCACGAACGUGCGUGUUGACGCUUCUACACAGUCAGACCCAGAACCCCCCUCCAGCUUCCAAUCCGAGGAUGAUGAUGUUGUCUUCUCCGAUCCGGGCCCCGACCAUCCGUCCCUCUUCUCACCCACCAGUCCGCCCGACUCUCAGUGG